rnacentral:misc_RNA from 1 species
UAAUAAGUGUUUUAUGGCACUUUUUAAAUCCAUAUCCACCUUGUGUGCAAUGUCAGUCGGUUUUCUUUUUCGUCAAGAAAAAAAGGAUCGACCAAACAUCAACUUACUCUAAUUGAACUUUUGUCUGAAAACUAUUAUGAAUAAACUAAUUCAAAAUA